rnacentral:lncRNA from 1 species
UGGGUAUAAAUAUAAAAAAAUGACACCGCUUUUCAUUAUAGUGAUUUAUUCAUUCAUUCAUGUUUUCAAAUUUUGACACCACUUACCAAAACAUCCUGCGUACGCCCCUGCCCCUGCCCCUAGUGGAGUAUGUUUACGGUAUCAAGUUAAAGACUCGAUAGCUAAAGUCAACAAUGAUUGAAACCCUAGGACAAUAAACAAAGUUUCUGCAAAAAAAGGGGGCAAGAACACAAACCUUAGUAAUAGACUUCUGGGCAGCUAAUGAAGUAACUGUCUGUUUAACCUCUGUAGAAAGAACCAUGCGAAAUUUCCAGUUAAAAUAUACAUUAGUAGAAUGCAAUCACUAGAUAUGUGAACUCAAAAUAGAUAUGCCAUAACACACACACACACAAAAAAAAAAAAAAGGAGACAUCUAUUAGACAAAAUCGAGUAUAAGGUCAAGAAAAUUACUAGCAUAAAACUCGAGCUUCUUUUCGAAUUUACGUUCAGCUCGAGCGGCUGCAUCUCCGCUGAAAUACAAAAAAGCGAAGAAAAAUUAGAGAGUGAGAGAGAAAAACUAAGGGUAAUAGAUAAUACAAAGCUUAAUUAAGAGUACUAGUAUUUAAGAUCUGACCGUGAGGCUGUCUUCCCCAUGCUUGACGGGGUAGUAAGAGCAGCGGCCUUUGCUCUUGAAAAGCUAGGGCAAGAAUAUUUAUUGCUAAUUUAAUGAAGAUAGCGAUUGGCAAGAAGAAGGUUGAAAGCCUGAAGGCUGCUGUAGUAGACGAUGAAGAUUGGGAACUCUUAACUGAUGAAAAGAUGGAAGCCUAAUGUCCAAUCUCAU